GCGGGCAUAGCUCAGUUGGGAGAGCGUCAGACUGAAGUGGGUUUCUUUAGACCCUGGAAACUUCAUUCAAUCUAUCUGAAGGUCGUGUGUUCAAUCCACACUGGCCGCA
rfam:Glomerella graminicola M1.001 genomic scaffold supercont1.7, whole genome shotgun sequence.